rnacentral:lncRNA from 1 species
UAUUAGAUUGCAUCUUACAUGAAUUUUAAAGCACUUAUACCUCUUCUUUCCAUCCAGUUGCAUAAAUCUCAAAGCGACUAUUACACGAUCUAACAUUUGACAUUGUAAAAAAGAUGAAUUAUUCUUUCAUGCAAAGAUGCAACCUUGCUUCCCAAUAAUAUAUCUCUAAUUUUCUAGAAAUUGAAGAUGUUGCUAUGAGCGGCAGAAUUUCUUGUACAUAUUACUCAUAAU